AUUAACGCUGGCGGUGUGUAUAAUACAUGCAAGUCGAGCGCUCCGAGCAAUCGGAGAGCGGCAAACGGGUGAGUAACACGUUGGAACCUUCCUUGAAGUGAGGGAUAACCUUGAGAAAUCGAGGCUAAUACCGCAUGUGGCCCGUAUUUUAAUGUUUUAAAUUUUUUAAAGUAUUAAAAUGCGGGUUAAAGCAGCAAUGCGCUUCAAGAGGGGCCUGCGUCCUAUCAGCUUGUUGGUGAGGUAACGGCUCACCAAGGCGAUGACGGGUAGCUGGUCUGAGAGGAUGAUCAGCCACAAUGGGACUGAGACACGGCCCAUACUCCUACGGGAGGCAGCAGUAAAGAAUCUUUCGCAAUGGCCGAAAGGCUGACGAAGCAACACCGCGUGAUUGAUGAAGAUCGUAAGAUCGUAAAAAUCUUUUCUGGGGGAAUAACUCUGAAGGUACCCCAGGAAUAAGCACCUGCUAACUCCGU
rnacentral:rRNA from 1 species